CAGAGCAAUAGCUGACCCCCCUGUGUAACCGAAGUCCCUGUUUAAUCUUUAUAUUUUCCUAUCCAAGAAGUAUCAAUGCGUAACUUUAAUCCUUAGAGUUGCUUUCAGCGCUCAGGGAUAAUUUUAAAAAAUCAAAACAGUUGUUCUCUCAACCGUUUGAUUCUCUUCCCUCCCAAGAAAGAUCAGUUGUAUUAGUUGGAGGUCUUUGAAAACCAAAUGCCCAAGUGUUUGGUACUCUUUAAAAAGCAGAUGUAGUUGCUAGAAAUGUAAGCACAGUGAAGAAGAGAGUGGCUCAUUUCUGAUUGCUGUGAUAGACUGAGAGUCAGAAGUCCCAAUCAGCGCCAUGCAUACUCCCUACCUUCUUCUGACAAGAAACGUAUUUACAACUGCUAAAAUGAACUUCUAGUUUUCUUUUCUUUUCUUUUUUUUUUUUUUUUUUUUUCGGAGCUGGGGAUCGAACCCAGGGCCUUGCGCUUCCUAGGCAAGCGCUCUACCGCUGAGCUAAAUCCCCAACCCCCGAACUUCUAGUUUUCAUACCAAAAAAAAAAAAAAUUCCAAGUAGGAAAAAAUAGUUGCUUAUUUGGAAGAUAUAAAAACAAGUAUAACUUGAAAAUUUCUACUUAGUAAGGAUUGGUCUGGAGCUUUUAAAGCUAGAGACUAUGUCUUCAUAUCUUCAUCUGAAUUCAUGUCUGCCUAGCUCAGCUUCACACCAUGAUGAUGGUCAGUGUGAAUGAAUAAACACGUGAGAACUGUCAUUUGCCCAGUGACAGAUGAAGGGAGGAAAUCAGCUCGUAAGAUGGGCUGAGAAUUCAAAGACCAUCCUCGGCUAUAAUCCUGUGUCUUCCAGUUGCCCUCUGAAUUCUAAAUAAAUUGUUCCCCAGUGGGUUUCGGGACAUGUCCUUUGAAGAUGAGACCCUGGUUGCACCUUAAACACCGAAGCUGCCUUAUCUGCAGAAGUUCUCUUAGAUUUCCUUGGUUUUGAGAAACGGUUUUUGAUAAUGUACAAUCCUGUAAAAUUUAAAAGAGGUAUCAUUCUAGAAAAUUAAUAAAUGAUAUUUAGUAUGAAAUCUGAGAUUUGACAUAGCCCUGCUUGCCAGAUGCAUUAUAAUCAAAUUGUAUAUACAUACACUAGCCUAUAAUCUGAGCUAGAGAGAAGACUCAUCCACCUCAUUGCUUCUUUUGUUAAAACAUUUUAUAAAAACAUUAAAUCUGUAUACAUUAAUGGGGUACCAUAUGAUGUUUGGGUACAUAUAUGUUUUAAAUCAAGUUUGUCAUCUGGAACACUUUCAAUUCUUAUUUUAAUAAUUUUUUUUUUUAUGUGUAUACGUAUUUUGCCUGCAUCAAAUCCCCAGGGACCAGGGUUACAGAUAGUUGUGAGCUGCUAUGCUGGGAAUUGAAUAUGAGUUCAAUGAAAGAACAUCCACUGUUCUUAACCAUUAAGCCAUCUCUUCUCCCUCCAUUUAUCAAUUCUUUAUGGUGAAAACUUCAAAAUAUUUUCUCCUUGCUUUUUGAAAUGUUCAGUGUGUAGCUACCCAGCACCCUGCUGUGGAAUAUGAGCCAUCACUUACUCUUAGAAGGCUACACUACAAAGUGCAACUGACUCUUAAAAAAACAGGAUGAUUUAAAUUAAAAAAACAAAAAAACAAAACAACAACAGAAUGAUUGACAGGGCAGUGGUGGCACAGACCUUUGAUCCCAGCACUCCGGAGGCAGAGGCAGGCGCAUCUCUGACUUCAAGGACAGCCAGGGCUGCACAGCAAAACCCUGUCUCAGAAAGGAAGGAAGGAGGAAGAAAGGGAAAGAAAGGAAGAAAGAAAAGAAAGAAAAGAUAGAUUGGAUGUACAGACAUCUCCUGAGGUCUUACUUCUUAACUCCAGGGGCUCUUAAGCUUUAGUGUGUGUGUUUAUUCACAGGACUGUACGCACUGACCCCUGCUAGUGCUUCAUGGUAUUUCAAAGCACAAGUUUUAGCAUUAAGGUCAUUUCCAGGUAGUCUAAUGACUUCAGAAACUAACUCCAAGUGUUACUCCACAUAAAAUCACACAAUGGCAGAUAGAGCAAAGAAAUUCUGAGGCAUUGCAGUAGCAGCCAGCAGUGGACAUCAUUAGCUCUGAAGUGAAAAGAACUAGAAAGCUUGCCUUGUCUCUAUAGAGAUGAUGUCAUAAUCUAUCACUGAAGUACAAGGUUAGAGUAAGAGACUGUUAGGUUUGGGGUUUUUGGGGGUUUUUUUUGUUUGUUUUUUUUUGUUUGUUUUUUUUUUUUUGUUAUCAUUAAUUUUGUGUGUGAGAGUCCAGGAGGAGGCCAGAGCAGCAAACAGUCUAAACCUCUGAGCCAUCUCUCCAUCCCCUCAUUAUCUUAAAUAAAAUCAGCAAGCCAGACAUGGUGACUUAUACCUUUAAUCCCAGCACUCAGGAGGAAAAGGCAAAUGGAUCUGAGAUUUCAGCCAGACUGGUCUAUAUAGAGUUCCAAGGAAGCUAGAGCUAUAUAGAGAGACCUUGUCUUGAAACAAGUAAAUAAAAAAUAAA